rnacentral:misc_RNA from 1 species
UAUGUGCAUUUCCAUGCACAUGUACGAAGGUCUGCUUUCGCUGCCGAUAAACUCUUAGUGGAUACAUCUGAGGAAGGCUGCGCAAAACUAUCUCGCAUUGGCCAAUUAAUGCAAAGGCACAAAGCAUUGAGCGUAAAUUUAUCAUGCGCAUUCAAAUGGAAUCAUGUUAGAUAUGCCGACGACUGUGUAACUAAUAUAGUUUUCUGCAAUUACAAAGUUAAGCAGCGAUACACGCUGAGUUCCCUUCCACCUAUUACUAGUGUGCCCGUAAUAUGUCACACUUUUCCCAGCGACCGAUAGAAAACAAGUCAAGCACAACAACGAAAAUAUUAGCAAACGCACAGAUAACAAAAGCUAAGACGAAAACUACAGCAACCACGGCCACUUCAUCGAAAGCUAAGACUUCAACUUCGGAGAAAAUAAAAAUUGGGGGCACAGCAAAAGAAUCAGUUACUAUCACAAUAACAUCUUGCAAAAAACCUUCAUCGAAAUCGUUGCAGCCAACAGAAUUAGUUUCCUCGUCGGUAUCAUUGGAACCAAAACAAAUAUUGCCCGCAGAAAAAGAAGAAGCAGCUACUCAUAUUUUUUGCCCACAACAUCAUCAGCUGACCAAGCCUUCGACAUUUAUAGAUCGGAAACAUCGGCGCAAACACAAAAAUCCACGAUCCUGCUCAUCAGAUACUGAGAAAAUUGAGACGGAUGACAGCAAACCAAUGUUAAAGACAGAUGUCGAAGUUUUCCAAGGAAAAAUCGUUUUUAAUUUAGAUGGUAAUGCCUUCAUAAUUGCCACGGAAAACUCAACGCAGGAUUUAAUAGCGAGUGCAAAAACCACAGCAGGUUCAUCGUUAGUAACGACAAAUGAGGUUGGAAGGAAGAUAACCGCACCAUCAAAUUCAACAUCAGCUACGACAAAGUCAACAAACAAAACAUCGACCACUUCGGCAACUUCAAAGGAAGUCUCAAGCAGUCGAGAUGAUGAACAUAAGACUACACCAAAAAGCACCAACAUUCUAAAAACCACCGCAAGCCCUCGUAUACAUUCUUUUCGCAUAGUGAGUGCUCAGUAUGCCUCAGCCGCCGUUGUUGCUACCACUACCGCCACCACCAUCAAAAGCACCACCGACGAGCAAACGGAAUUCGGGACAUAUGUUGACCAACAACCACAAAAGCCACAGCAUCGACGUCGACAUAGCAACAGCAGCGAUACCGAUAACGACAACGAUAGUGACAGGACCAACGGGUACAAUAUAGUGCAGCGCUCUUCCAAAAUACAAAAACCGAUAUUGAUGUGCUUUAUAUGCAAACUAUCUUUUGGGAAUACUAAAUCAUUUAGCUCGCAUGCUAGCUCAGAGCACCAACUGACUCUGCAACCAAAAGAACAGCAUUUACUAAACCGCGAAUAUUCGAGUGCUAUCAUUCAGCCUCCAAAUAUGGACGAGAGUCCACAAAUAUCAUUCCUUGAGCCAAUUGAUAUGCUCAAUGUUAUAAAAAGUGACGAUUUAAAUACUGAGACUGAUGUUCAAUUCAACGAGGGUACAACCCAGGCAGUGACUUUCGGAUCGAAUGCUAGAGAGGUUUCGGAGAGAUCGGUUGUUGAACGAAUAAUGAGCGAAAAGGCUGACGACGCGGCGGCGACAACGGACACAAAAUCAUCAAUUAGACCAUUAACUUCUGGUUCAACAUCGCCAUCAACGUCUGCGCCAAUGUCUCCCGACCUAUCGUUGUCAUCAAUAGCGUCGCCUAAGUCCUUGCGGACCGCGCCUACGGCCGCAGCGCCACCAGCAGCAUCACCUUCACAAAUCACAUCCACACUUGAGUUACCCAGCGCUAUUGAUAGUAGCAACAAUAGUCAUUUACUGAUUAAAACCUCCCUUUCCAACAUCCAACAACAACGAUACGAAGCAGUUGCUUUCGUCACCGAGGCAUCAGCAAUGACAACGCCUACAUUAUCAAGCCAACUGGCAGAAAGCACCAAGCUUAAUACCAUUGAGCAGCAGUCGCGGCGGCAACAACAACAACAGCAAACAACAAUCAUUACUAAUAGAUUAAAGGAAAAUGCAGCUGUAGAAAUGAAAGAUAUUGAUGACUCCAAAGCGAAAUUAACUGCAUUUUCGCCGUCCUUGACUUCAUCGGCAGGCGAGAAAUCAUUAUCAUCCACAACAUUGUCUUCAUCAAUACUACCAAAGAAUGAGUCAGAAAAGUCAUCAAAUACUGAAACAAAAUAUGGUACAUACUCAUUAGCUACAUCACAAGCUGUAUUAGGAUCAAGCUCUGAUUGUGCAUUAAAGCCAAGAAUAACCGUAUGCGUAACACCUACAACAGCGUCUACCGCGAACAAUAACUCCGAUCUGUUGAGUAACCCAGGGAGCAGAAGCCUUCAAGGUGCAAAUGCUUCGGACUGUCAUAGCCCGCCACUGACUGCAGUGACGAAAGUUGAGGCUGAAAAUACAGAAAUGGGUGCUGCGCCCACCAGUGCCUCCGGGUUCCAGCACAUGCAGUUGCAGUGCGACACGGACUCGGACAGAAAGCUAGACCGAGCCGAUACCCUAUCGCGGCUUUCAGCUGAUGCAGUCAAUUUCCUGCAGCAGCAGCAACAGCAACAGCAGUAUUCGGCAAUGAGCAGCAGCACCUUUGCCACCCCGCCAACCUCUCUAAUGUCCAUGACACACACACACAGUAAUCUCAGCUGCUUGCACUCCUCUUUAGUGGCUUUAACUGAUGGUACUUCGGCCAUCUGUAGCUCUACAGAGGCUCAAAAAACCAAUGCAAAGUUAAUCAGCGACUUUUUACAACAGCAUAUCAGCUUACAGCAGCAGUACGCUGCAGUCAGCGGCAGCUGUGCAGAACAUACAGACUAUAAGGAUAACGACUGCAAAAAUUGCGAAAUGCAACAACUUAAAUCUCCCCCGUUCCACAACUCCAGCCAGCAGCAUGUGAUAACCAGCACCAAUACAACACCGCAACGGUCACCAACACGCAGCAACAGUAGCUGCACAAGCACCAAUAUACAGUCACCAGCGAAUUUAACUACAUCGCCGAACACCACAGCUGUCUCAGCAGCAGCGGUGGCGGCGGCGGCGCAACAACAAAACGCAGCUGCUGCUGUAGCUGUGGCUGCCGCUGCAGCGGCAGCCGCGGCUGCAUCCGUAGCCAGCAACACAUCCAGUUUUACUAUAGGCGCUUGCUCGGAUCACAUCAACGGACGACCAUUGGGCGUAGAAUGCACACGUUGCGAGAUGAUACUGAGUUCGACACGACUCAAUACUGGUGUUCAGAUGUCAACUCGAAACUCUUGCAAGACCCUGAAGUGCCCGCAAUGUAAUUGGCACUACAAGUAUCAGGAGACACUCGAGAUUCACAUGCGCGAAAAACAUCCGGACGGUGAAAGUGCUUGUGGUUACUGUUUAUCUGGUCAGCAACAUCCGCGCCUGGCUCGUGGUGAGUCUUAUUCAUGUGGGUAUAAACCGUAUCGGUGUGAAAUUUGUAACUAUUCGACAACGACCAAAGGGAAUCUCUCCAUUCACAUGCAAUCGGACAAGCAUUUGAACAAUAUGCAAGAGUUGAACAGCUCACAAAAUAUGUUGGCGGCCGCGGUGGCCGUAGCCAGCAGUGGGAAGACGGAUGUCGCAUCGAAAUUGUUGCUAACCAACAAUAUUGCAGCUGCUCAACAGCAGCAGCAAUCACAAGCACAGCAAACGCUAACACAGUCCCAGCCCCAGCAGCCACAAUCGUCGAUUGGCUGCAACUCGGCAAUCGUGGGCAGCGGAGGGUCAUCUGGGAAUGGUAGUGGGCGUAAUAGUGUCGAUGCAUCUGGAAAUGCUUGUGGUAUCCUCAAUAAAAGUAAGCCGUCCUUUCGUUGUGACAUUUGCAGUUACGAAACAUCAGUGGCUCGAAACCUACGCAUACACAUGACCAGUGAGAAGCACACCCACAACAUGGCUGCCCUGCAAAACAAUAUCAAGCAUAUUCAAGCGUACAGCUUCUUACAACAGCACCAGCAGGCUGUUGCUGCUGCCGCUGCUCAACAACAGCACCAGCAACUAACGGCAGCAUCCCAGGCUGCUUCCCAAUUGCCAGCUCUGGGCAGCGGGUUAGCCAGCGGCUUUAUACCGGAAAUAGCUUUGGCCGACUUGGCAUAUAACCAGGCACUCAUGAUACAAUUGCUGCAGCACAAUGCCGCAGCCGUUAGCCAGCAACAGUCGCAACAGCAACAACCUCAUGAAUCUGUGACCAAGCUAAAGACUUCGCCGACCUCCUCUCCGCGUCCCAUGCAAGUUGAGCAGUCAACAACUCUGCCACAACAACAACAAUUGCAACAGCAACAACAAAUUCAACAAUUGCGUCAACAGUUGCAGCAAUCGUAUUCCCCGAACAGCGGUUCGCCCACACUGUUGCUGUCUACGGAUCCUUUUACUACCAGCGAUAUAAAUUUGUCUUCCAGUGUUAGUGGCGGCUGCAGCGGCGAUGAAACGCUGGAGCCACCUGUCCGCGCCGAUCCUUGCCCCACAAGUCUUUACACUUGCUUAGUGUGUGAUUUCUUCUCCUCGAAUAGUUUAGACGAGCUUAAUCAGCAUUUAUUGAUUGAUCGCUCGCGAAAUAACUCCAUGACAACAAACGCGAGCAUCGCCGCUAGUGGCAGUAGUAGUAAUGUCAACAGUUCUGUCAACACAGAUAUAAUGGUCAUUUUAAACAAUAACUACAUAUGCCGCCUAUGUAACUACAAAACAAAUCUGAAGGCAAACUUUCAGCUACAUAGUAAAACGGAUAAACAUCUUCAAAAACUGAAUUAUAUCAAUCACAUACGUGAAGGUGGGCCCCAAAACGAGUAUAAACUUAAAUAUCUGCAGCUUGCUGCUAACACGGUGCAGCUAAAAUGUAAUUGCUGUGAUUUUUAUACGAAUUCCAUCCAGAAGCUUUCAUUACACACGCAGCAAAUGCGACACGAAACGAUGCGUAUGAUCUUCCAACAUUUAUUGCACAUCAUGCAACAUAAUAACUUUGAAAAGACCAAAAUACAACAGCAUUCAAAGUCUGCGGGUGAAACCGUUAGCAGCAUACGCGAGCCACACGGCGGCAACAUUGCGCGCGACAAUACUACUGGGGACACUCAAGGCAGUGCUAAUACAGCAACGGACAUGGCAAAAACAACCGAAAAGUCAUUGACAUGCCAGUUGUGCAACUACAGCGCGUUUACUCUACUAAAUAUGAUCCAACAUGUAAAAAGUCUUCGUCAUAUGCAAGUAGAGCAAUUUGUGAGUCUCCAACGUCGCAGCGAACAACUGGACCCACCUAGCCUAGAUGACGUCUUCAAGGUAGUUGAACAACCUAUAUUGCAAGCAUUGCCACUUUCCGCAGCUGCUUCUCCAGAAGAUAAUAAAAUGGAAAAUAUCAGGUCGGUCUCGGUCGCUGACUAUUUCCCUGUUCCUACGACGCGCUUAACGAAUGAGGACACCGGUUAUAAUACACCUGGGAUAGAUCACAACUCUUUCUCACCUUCAUCAAAUUCCUCGGUUGCAUCAGGAAAUACAAGUGUACGUAGCAAAGGGUAUCAACGGGUUAAUACACCAAAUUUCCAAUCGUCAAUUGGUGAUAGGUAUUUACAAGCAACCUCAUUGGGUUCAACAACUAGUGCUGCGAGCAUACCAUCAGUCGUAUUUAAAUGCAACAACUGCGAUUUGUUUGCACAAUCUAAAGAUGAGAUGGAAAUACACCUUGGCACAGUUCAUCCACAAACGGAGCCAGACUACAUCAGCAUUCCAACGAAUUCUGCGGCAAUGCAAGCAUUUCAAGCGGCGGUUGCAGCAGCUACAGCUGCGGCGGCAUCUGCUGUAACAGCUACACGCUCUGAAUGUAAAUCCAAUUUAGAAACUGAUACUGUCGAUGAUGAUUGCCCUACGUCAAUCAAACGAGAACGUUUAUUUUCGCCAGUAGACGAGGAAUUAGAAAAAGGCACUGAUAUGAGCAGUACAAUGACACUAAAAGAUACAUCAACAAUUGAUCCCUGGAUAACUACAACAAUGAAUGAGAAUACAUCAUCGCCAUCCAUGAAUGAAUCUGGGCCAGGAAGUCAUAAUGUUAUGAGUGGUGAGCUUGUAGAAACUGAGGAGGAAGAAUUACAUCCACAUUCAUCACUACUCAAAAGCGUUGAGCAUGGAGCUAGUGAUGUGGAGGACAAUAGCCAGGUUGGCCAAACAAGCCCAAAACACAGCGUUCAGUGUCCAUUGUGCACUGAUAUUUUUGGCCGCAAGCAAGCGCUGGAAUCACAUUUGAUGAAUGUACACAGUGUAAAUCGUGAUGGCUUAGCUCGGCUCCUACAGCUGGUAGAUGCCAGCGUUUGGAAGCAAUUCCCCACAAAACCAGGAAGCAUUUAUGAUGCUAAAAGUACCAAGCCUGCUACCGGUACGUAUACCCCCAAUGACCCAAAUAUAAAAAGCUCUACAGAAUUGAGCACAUCGGCGAUGGGGAUUUCUAACAGUGCAGCUAUAAAUCUAAAUAAAUCUAAUCCCACGACGUACGCUCAAUCACUGGAAACUGGAAAUAGCAGUGAAUUAUCAUGUGAACAGUGUUCUUCCCAAUUUAAACAUGAACAGCAAUUGUUGCAGCAUGCACAGAAAACUCAACAUUUUGUUCUCUUGCCAAAUGGAGAUCACCGCUGUUUGGCAGCUAGUCAUCCCAGCCGGCCUUGCCACUCGACAUUUCCCUCACAAACUGCAAUGAUCGCACAUUAUAAGAACACGCACAUAAGCUUAGUUAUAUCGGAACGACAUGUAUACAAAUACCGUUGCAAACACUGCUCACUUGCGUUCAAAACCCAAGAAAAGUUGUCCACACACUUGUUAUAUCACACAAUGCGCGAUGCUACCAAAUGUACAUUGUGCCAACGAAAUUUUCGCAGUACGCAAGCGCUACAAAAGCAUAUGGAUCAGACUCAUCACACUAGCAGCGACCAAAAUACCCCCAGUUCCAGUUCACCGACGUUUUCAAGCUGCAGUGGCCGUGGCUCACCAUCCCAGCAGUCCAGCCAUGGGAAAACCUGUACCCACACAGCUGAUCUCUUGCCAGAGAACGCAGUCAAAAUUAGUGACACUGAAGAACGUCAGUCGCCGCCAGGGUCUCCGCAAGUCAAGGAGGUUAUCGAAUCGAAAAUUUCGAAUACAUCAUCGCAAGUAUCGUCUUCCCCAUUAGGAGCUCACUUAUUACAAGAACAGCAGCAGCAGCAAGAACAGGUUGCUGCCAUCACCGCGGCACUAUUAAAUCAGUCAACACAACAACAGGCUCAACCACAUUUCAGUGGCGAUGAGUUAUCAGCAAUUACACCAACUCAUCUAAUGCAACAUAUGCAAAUAAAGCCCUGCGGUUCGCUUUUGACGCAAAAGUAUAUUCAACAACACCACCAAAGCUUACAAAACCUUCAGCAACUCCAACAGUUGCCGCAACUGACAGCCACUGCAGCAUCCUCUGGUUUGCAAUUGAACCCUGUCGAAAUGCUGAAUCUCAUGCAGUUCCACCAUAUAAUGUCCAUGAAUUUCAUGAAUCUUGCUCCACCGCUCAUUUUUGGGGUCGGCGCUAAUGCUGGCGUUGGCAGCAAUUCUGACCUGAUUACGUCUCCACACACACCUAAAGUUUCUCAUACAUCCAAUCCCAGUUCACUGCUCUGUGGAAGCGAUUUGACUGUACCUGCCACCCCAGUACCAGUUGGUCCAACACCGGAUAAUGUUGGUACAAUAUCACAGCAGCAACAACCGCAACAACAACAGCAAGCUGUAGCAACAACUACAUCACAGAUGGUGAGUAAUCAAAAACGUGCACGGACCCGUAUCACCGACGAUCAGUUAAAAAUUUUGCGCGCCCACUUCGACAUCAACAAUUCUCCAAGUGAAGAAAGCAUAAUGGAAAUGUCACAAAAAGCGAAUUUACCAAUGAAGGUUGUCAAGCAUUGGUUUCGGAACACGCUAUUUAAGGAACGCCAGCGAAACAAAGAUUCUCCCUAUAACUUCAACAAUCCACCAUCUACAACAUUAAACCUGGAAGAGUACGAGCGUACUGGGCAAGCCAAAGUGACACCUUUGAAUGAAGACCUUCAUCUGACUUCGUUGAAUCUUUCGCAACAACAACGGGAACAGGAUAAGCAUAGGCUUCUUGAACAUAAGCUCCAGGAUGCCAAAAAUGAACCCAACACUGAUGCUUUUCCCAGCAAAAGUGGCCAUUCUCCGAUAUUAAUAGAUAUUAAAACUGAACCGUUUGAUGAGAAUGUUGAACAUCACAGCACAGUCGCUGAUAAUUCACCCUCUCAACAACAACAAAAACAGCAGCGACAAGGUAAUCAAGAUAAGCACUUGUUAAAUACGGCAUCGACAUUGCUUUUGCAUCAGCGACAACAACGAAUAUCAACAUUGACAGCAGCUGAGCACCAACACCAGCAAGUUACAGAAAUGCAGGAGCAUACAACAGUUGGAGCAGCUGUUGCAUCCAUGUUGCAGCAACAACAUUUACAAUCGCAGUCAAAUCAAAGCGCACACCAGCAGCAACAACAACAGCAUAUCAACCUCUAUAGCUACGAAACGAAAUCAGAAAGCGGCAGCUCGGAUAUACUUUCAAGACCACAGUCACCAAACAGCACUUCUACGGCUCCCACGCAUUAUGCAAGCAUUAAUGAAAUAUUGAAUCAACAAUUGGACAAUUUGCCACUCAGCCAAAAACUUACCAGUAUGAAUGUUGCGAACUUGCACGGAAACAAUAUGGGUCCACCAAAAAAUUUCCAAACUAACAAGUCGUUCGAAAAGAACUCACCAUCUUCACAAUUUGACACGAACUCGAAUUCUUCGAAUGCAUCGUCCACGUCCAGCGGAAAGCGAGCAAAUCGAACACGUUUCACGGACUAUCAAAUCAAGGUACUACAGGAAUUCUUUGAGAAUAACUCCUAUCCAAAGGAUAGUGAUUUGGAGUAUUUAAGCAAGCUAUUGUUGCUUUCCCCACGGGUUAUUGUUGUCUGGUUUCAGAACGCCCGUCAAAAGCAGCGAAAGAUUUAUGAGAAUCAACCAAAUAACUCACUUUACGAAACAGAGGAGAAAAAACACAAUAUAAACUACGCGUGCAAGAAGUGCAAUCUUGCAUUCCAGCGAUAUUACGAAUUAAUACGUCACCAAAAGAAUCAUUGUUUCAAAGAAGAAAAUAACAAAAAGUCGGCGAAGGCGCAAAUAGCCGCUGCACAGAUUGCACAAAAUCUAAGUUCCGAAGACUCAAAUUCCUCCAUGGACAUAAAUAGUGGCAAUACGAUUGCCCUGUUGCAGCAUCAGCACGUAGCUGCCGUUACGUCGUCACAUGGUUUAACAAGUGGCGCCAACAUUUCUAGUAAUUCACCGGACGCAUCAUCCUCUGGAUUAAAUGUGCUUCACAACACAUCGCCGCAGCAUUUGUUUGGUAAAUCUUCGAUGUCUAUUACCGACUUCAGUCCAUCUACUACUCCAACACCGCCGCAAUCGCAACGAGAACGGACCGAUUGCACUGAGCUUCAGUCCCAGGUCCAAGUUGACAAAUCUAAAUUCGAAUGCGACAAAUGUAAGAUACAAUUUGGGUUCUACGAACAUUUCCGCGAACAUCAGCUGCUUCAUUUGAUGAAUCCCGGCUUGUUUACAUCCCAGAUUCCGAACAUUCCAGACGCAUACGGCUCAUUUGGCAGCAUAUUUCAAAGUUUGCAACAGGUGGCAGCAGCAAAUGCAACACAUCAGCAACAACAGCAAUUGCUGCAACAACAGGGCCAACCGCCGGCGAAAAAGCGCAAAUGCUCCGAAACUUCAUCAAUAGGGGAUGACAUGUCAUCGAUUGGCGGAACCGGGGAUACCGACAUCAAUCCUGUGUCAUCAUCCCUCUCAACAGCAAAAAAAUUUGAUUUUUUAUACCAGUAUUUCAUGCAAAACGAGAGCAACAAUGAGCUAAAGCAACAAUUUCAAUCGCAACAUCAGCAAUCACACGAACCAGAGCUGGAAAUGGAGUUCCUUGCAAAUUUUUAUCACCAAUCCGAGGUGCGAAAACGAAGUAACUAUGAUUUUUUAUAUGAGUACUAUCAAAAGCAUGAACGUAAGCAGCUGGGGACCAUGCAACAUAUCGCAGGCGCUUUCGGGACGGAGAAUAAACCUCACAUUGAUUUUCUCUUGCAAUACUAUCAACUGAACGAAUCGAAAAAGUUUUUUCAGUUAGAUGCCUCGAACCCACAAAUAAAUGACCACACGGCAGCGUCGCCAACAUCGACAAAACAAUACCAGCGCACAAAUAAUAUAUCUUUAAACAGAGAUAAUACAACCACGCCUAAGGCAGACUGCAGCAUGUCAGAUUCCAGCUUAACAAAAAACUCUAUGGAUGCCCUUAGUAGCAAUAUUGAGCCGUCAGAUGCCGAUGAUGGCAACAAUGAUAACGACAGAAAUAGUAAUGGCGGUAUGGAUGUUGACGACGCUGAUAGUAGUGCUGAUACAGAUAAUAAUGAUGACAAUAAUGAUGAAAAUAGCUUUUGCGCUAGACGACUACAUACGGCAAAAAGCAACGUUAAAAUAAGCAAACAAACUGAUCUCUCGGAUAACAGCACAAAGAAUAUUUCCACCGAUCAAAAACUCUUAACGAAUCUACCUUUCGCCUAUAAUGACGAUCAACAUCUCAAGGAUGUAAGUAAGGCCAGAGGAGCUUACGUAAAAAACCAGAGGCAUAACCAUGCAAAGCGUAACUCAUCGUCUCUAUCACCUCAAUCACAAUUGCCACUAACAGCAAAGGCAGCAGCCACUGUUACAGCUAGCUGUAAUUCCGGUUUAUAUAUGCACAACUUGAAGGAAUUUCUCGAUGAAACACCCACACACGCCCAAACUUGUAACGAAAUACUAGCACAAACGGAUACUGAUGGCAGUAGCGGAUGCACAGCAAUAUAUAAAAUGCAAUCAUCUGAAACGUCAUCGUCGUCGCCAAAUUCAAAUACCAAUAACAUUUCUGCUGCUGGCCCGACAGCGUCUGUAGCAUCCAAAGCUGCUACUGGUGUUACCGAAAAACAACAGAGUAAACGACUACGAACUACAAUACUGCCAGAACAACUAAAUUUUUUAUAUGAAUGCUACCAAAAAGAAUCGAAUCCAAGUCGAAAAAUGCUUGAGGAAAUCGCAAAAAAAGUAAACCUUAAGAAACGCGUCGUGCAAUAAUAUAAUAUGUUCCAGUUGAUGAAGUGAUCUAAAAGCCUGAGCGUUGCUACGUAAACUUGCUGUUACUACUUAUUGCUGUAUUUAGAAAAUAUUUAGUUAAUCGCUAGGAUGCGAUUUUUAAGGUUUGGUUCCAAAACUCUCGUGCAAAAGACAAAAAAUCACGUAACCAACGCUUUGCCACAAUUUCUGAUGAUAGUAACUACGAGGACG